AUUGAACGCUGGCGGCAGGCUUAACACAUGCAAGUCGAACGAGUGGCGGACGGGUGAGUUAUGCUUGGGAAUCUAGCUUAUGGAGGGGGAUAACUACGGGAAACUGUAGCUAAUACCGCGUACCAUAGGUUGUGCGCAAAUGGGAUUAGGUAGGUGGUGAGGUAAUGGCUCACCUAGCCGACGAUCUCUAGCUGGUCUGAGAGGAUGACCAGCCACACAGGUAUUGAGACACGGCCCAGACUCCUACGGGAGGCAGCAGGGGGGAAGAUUGGGCAAUGGGGGCAACCUGACGAAGCCAUGCCGCGUGAAUGAAGAAGGCCUUCGGGUUGUAAAGUUCUUUCGGUAGCGAGGCGUUAACUACAGAAGAAGCACCGGCUAACUCCGUGCCAGCCGCCGCGGUAAUUC
rnacentral:rRNA from 1 species